ACUUUAGGUUAUUUAAAUGCCUCAAAAUGUUCAUGACGACCCCCUUGUGGAGCUGUUUUGUUCUUCUGAUGGCCAUCACUAUUACUGCUGGACGCAAAAAUCUAUGCGAUGAUUUGGGUGUAUGUAUGAAAAGCUGUUUUGUGAUAAUUGUCCAGACGAAAGCCCAGUGUCCUGAGGGUAAGCGGUGUUGCCUACAUGGAAACGUCCCGGAUACUUACCCUGCAGUGCAAGUGCUCGAUGACUCAUCUGAUGACGAGUCGAUGUCAGCAUCACUACCACCGAUGAUAUAGGCGAUGAACCGCCUUCGAAGUGUUGAAAUUUACAUGGUAAGACUUCUCCAUCAGAUGACAUUGUCUUCCAGGAAGAAUCAUGCAUAUUAUAAGCGAUGAUUUCAGAGAGGAAGUAAUAGAUUUAUAAGUGUCGUAUAUAUGUGAUGGGUUUCCAAAAUAUGAAUACAUAUAAAAGUAAUUGGUUUCGGGAAAAAGUAGUAUCUAGAUUAUUUAACAUUGUUACCUGAGCCCUGUACUUUUUGGCUCUUGAACAUUUUUUAAAUGUGCUAUGCUUAACGUUAUGGUUGUCCUUACGUUAUAUACAUAGUUCUUUUAGCGGGCUCUUUUGGGAUCUUCUGAAAGAUCGAUUGAAAGUGGUUAGACCCAAAUUUUAACAUUAUUUGUUUAAAUCAAUGUGAAUUCUGGUAGAAAAUAUUUUAAAUUUGUAUUUAAAUAUUUAUAAAUAUUGUGCUUGUGGCACGAGAAAUACAUGCCAAGAUCAAAAUGAUGUUCAACACUCA
rnacentral:misc_RNA from 1 species